rnacentral:rRNA from 1 species
UACGUAGGGGGCAAGCGUUGUCCGGAAUCAUUGGGCGUAAAGCGCGUGUGGGCGGCUAGAUAAGUCUGCUCUGAAAGCCCGGGGCUCAACCCCGGGAGGCGGGUGGAUACUGUCUAGCUCGAGUCCGGAAGAGGAGUGUGGAAUUCCUGGUGUAGCGGUGAAAUGCGCAGAUAUCAGGAGGAACACCAGUGGCGAAGGCGGCUUACUGGACCGGAACUGACGCUGAGGCGCGAAAGCGUGGGGAGCAAACGGG